GUUUGUAAGCCGCGUUUUUGGUGUGCGCGCAGUAAAUUUUUACUAGUUGGUGAUUCCUUGGGUUUAUUUUGUUAAUUUCUAAACCUUUGGCAGUUAAUGAUGCCUGAAGUGUGACCCAUAGAAGACGAACCCUUGUAGCCCCAAGGCCAGAGAGCAAACUAGGUGCCCGUUCCUAGCGGACCUCAGAUUUCCCGGGACUCAUGAGGAUACAAAUCUGGAGCUUCACACAGCCUUCUUGCCAGACGAGGGGAACAAAGGUGCUCCCAGACUGCAGCCAAGAGGUUCCAGAUUUGGUUCACAGUGUCCUGUAGGUUCCACAGCUGGUACCUAAGUCUGGUACCCCAUGCACUGGAUGGCAAGGCUGCUAGACCCCACGACUCCCACAGAGCAAUGUAUAAAACACAGCAUGCGAUAUUAUCUUUUCACUUGAAAAGGCAACACUAAAAAUAGGUCACGGCCUCUGACAGAGUAUACAAACUGCCAGGACAAGGACUACGAGCACAGUAGGAGUUCGAGAAAUGAUGGUAAUAAUGAGACCGCAGUGUUGCUGAUUCUUGGAUCUGCUGAGAAAAUCUGAAUUCUCACUCCAGCCUUAUCACCAUCCAGCUCCACCAUGGCCUUGGGAAAUCAUAACCACCUGCAUAUUUUAACGUGAAAGCUUGGUUCAACUUGUAUGGAACCAACCCUUUCAAGAAAGGAUGACAUAGAAAGCUGACAAAGAAAGGAUGAUGGUCAAGAAGAGGGAUCAACAGGAUAAGUAAGUACGAACAGGGUGAUUUUUCGAGGAAAAGGAUAUUAACACUGCAUCUAUAAUUACCUGGGAAAAAAAGUGAGACAGUUGAUCCACUUUGAAUCAAAGUUAAAGGUUGACUAUGAACAGUCUGAUCUAAGAGCCAAGCGACACAAGAGUGUAAAGCACUUUUCCCUUCUAAGUGAAUCUCAAACAAGAAACUGUGUGAUCAAGGCUAAUGUCGCUCUCAAUGUGGACCGGGCAGAAGAUGAUGAACAUCUAAAUGACUUGAUAAAGACCUACAUAAUUAUGAAAUUUAGUCAAAUUUUUCUGUGGAAUUAGGCAUCGACAUUUAUUGAUCAUCUUCUAGAAGCCAAAGUGUAACAGGAAGGGCUAAUGGAUGGAAACAGAACUAGAAGACAUGAAUUAGAAAACAACCUCUCAUUCUUAAUAGUACCAACAGGAAGCUAAAAAGCACAUUUCCAUAGAAACAAAAUAUUGCCUCAAAUACAGUAUGAAUACAUAAGUGCUAAGGAAAUCCCAAGCAUUACUCUCACAAGAGUGAGCUGGAAUAAGUGAUAGAUGAAUUCUAAAAAGAAGUGAGAGUUAUGUUUUAAUACAGGAUAAGAGACAAAAUUUACAGGGAAGAAAGAACAUUACAGUCAUGGGAACAAGAAUAAAGAUCUGUUAAUCAAGUAAAAAAAAAUGUUAAACUCGAUUCUAGGAUUUGUAUAUAUAAAUAGAUACUAUUUCUUAGUAUCUUUAAAAUAUAGCAAUAAAUAAACCCUAAAAAACGAAGGCAAAUAUAUUUUUGAAUGUACAUCUGAAUAUGACUAUACUUAAGGCUCUUAAAAUUCAUUUAAUAACAACAAAAAUAAAAAUUUCAUUCUUCUUUCUUUCAGGCAUAUACUGAAACAGUUAAGAGAAUGCAAAAGCCUAAAACAGAACAGGUUUAAUUCCAUAGAGUUGUUUAUUCACAUCUUGAUGCAGGAAGGGAAUUAAAUAAUUAGGUGCUUAUCAUUACAUCUUUCUUCCGACUUCUAGGAAAACAAAGGAAACAAAAACUCUUUUUAAACAGCUGAACUCAGCUAACUGAUUCUGCUCAAUAAAUUCUCAAUGAAAUAUCUGUUCCACAUAUUUUUAAAUAUGGAUAGUUCCUCUUUAAGAUAAUUAAAAUUUGAAAUCCGAAGAGGAGACUUUUCCUUUCCUAUAGCUCACCACUUUACCAGAAAUUUACCAUACAUUUGAAUAAUAGUUUAAUGAGGCAGAAGGCUGUCUUUGGAAAGUAUGAAUCAAUGAAAAUUCAGCAAAAGAGGAUCAUAAGAAAUACGUCCAUUUUUAAACAAAAGGAAACAGUAAAGCCUUUUAGGACAUGACCCAAAAAAAUCUAUGUAACAAAUAAGAUAAAUCAUAAAAAGGAAAAUAUUUUUAUGGCUGUAGACUAUUUGUGAUAAAUAAUGCCUAAACAGAUAUAUGAUUUCCUGUGACCGAGUAAACUGAUUAUUCUGCCUGAUCAAAGAGAAUUCAAAUCUUUCUCUCAAACAACAGAGAGACUCCUCACAGCACACAGAGGUAGUGCCACAUGAUGGUUAAGAGCGAGGGUUCUGGAGCCAGACUACCCAGAUUCAUAUUCUUACUCUCCACUUCCUAGUUUGCUCUGAUGACUAUGGCAAAGUUACAUAAUCUUUCUAUGCCUCAAUUUCUUUAUUGCUAAAUAGGAGAUAAUAACAGUACUUUUUCCAAAAAGUUGGUGUGAGGUUUAAAUGUGUUAAGUGGAGAACUCAAGUCAGUGCUUGGCACUUUGUAAGCAACUGGAAGCUAUUUAAGCUAUUUUUAUUAUCACUGUUGCUAUCAUUACAGCCUAAAUACCUAUACUGAAGCUUCGGACUUUACCUACUGUAGCUAUCAUUAACCACUAAGCUCUUCAUGAAAAUAUCAAAAGUUAGUAUCAAAAGUUACAGCCUGAGUAAGUCAUAAGAGAUUUUAGCUGGAAUAGAACUAGUGAAAAGAGGGAUAUUCACCGGCCCUUCUAAAAGGGGUUGGG